rnacentral:rRNA from 1 species
GACAGAGGGUGCAAACGUUGCUCGGAAUUACUGGGCGUAAAGCGCACGUAGGCGGAUACUUAAGUCAGGGGUGAAAUCCUGGAGCUCAACUCCAGAACUGCCUUUGAUACUGAGGAGCUCGAGUCCGGAAGAGGUGAGUGGAACUGCGAGUGUAGAGGUGAAAUUCGUAGAUAUUCGCAAGAACACCAGUGGCGAAGGCGGCUCACUGGUCCGGUACUGACGCUGAGGUGCGAAAGCGUGGGGAGCAAACAGG